AAAUUAUGUAAUUACAUAAAGGUUUAUACUUACAUACACACCAAAGGAACAUGCAAGAUUGUCUAACAGUGAACAUAUAAAUCGAUCUGGAUUUUCCAUCAUGACAAGCUUCCUCUAGUAGAAAUUAAUGCCCGGAUGACAUACACUUAGCAACAUAAAAUCCUUUAGGCUUUGAACAUGCCGCACGAUUUGAUCUUCCUUGCUAAAGAUCUGCGAUAUUGUGAAGAAAUCACCAUGAUUGGACAAUUAUCAAUGCAGGGAUUAUUUUUAAAUUUAUUUUUAAAUAAUAAUGGUAACGGCGCGGCGAUCGCUUUUCUUUCUGAACCCAGUCUAUGACUGCGCCCUGUAAGUGGGCAGGUGCGUGCGCAACCCACGAGCACAAGAAAUCUUUGUUCGCACUUGCCCAUCCCUGUACCUUCUUGCCCUAUCGUUGUUUAGGACGUUUUCCACCUUUGCCUCUCCCAGUUGUUGGUGUUCCUACUGCCCUUAUAGGUGAGGAUAGAUCCUAAUCCCACCCGUCGAUGCGUAGACGAGAUUAGUUUCCACGAUCUACUCUGAUCCGAGACAGAAUUUCAGCAGCACCUCGCCGCUAUUCUUCCGAUACAUGUCCUAAAAGGGAGAGUGUGUAUCCAAAGAGAACAACAGGUUGGUGAUGCCAAAACUCUAUCUCAAAUCGGAGCAGAACAUGGAAACUAACUCAUCUAUGCAUCCGUAGGCUGUCCCAAAAACAUGGACAAUCCAAACAGAUACGGUUAUGCAUAUGAAAAGAUCUACAUACUUCUAACCGUAACUCUUUCGAACGGGAGACGCCUAACUAGGCUACACCAAUCUACGUAUGAUAACGGUAAGUAAGAGAGGCUAAUUAUACCUAAGGUGACAGUGGAGACAGGCUAGCGGAGGAGUGGCGAGUCGGCGCUAUGAAGGCACGACUGCAGCACCAACUAAGAUGAUCAGGGUCGUCUAGGUGCUCCGGGUACCCUCCGACAGCUCUUGCUCUGCAAAAGAAGAAACACAACACCCUAGGUUCAAAACCUGCAAAAAAAAACAUUGACACAAAGGCCGAUGUCCAUAUUUCUGGCACGAUGGCUCAAACAUCCACAAACCCGGCUCGAAGGCCGUCAACGAUAUAAACGGCAUGAUGACUGAUAUUCAUGGGGCUUUACCUUCUCCUCUGGCGACGAUCGGAGAAGAGGCGGUGCAGGGGCGGCCGGGGCAGCGAGGAAGGCCGGGGCUGGGUGCGGCGGCCGGGCAAGGCUCAGCGGCGGCCAGGGCGGGCUUGACGGCGGGCGGGCACGGCUUGGGCCGAGGCUUGGCAGCGAUGAAGGCGGGGCGGGGCCGGGGCCGGACGCGGCGGCGGCCGGGGGUGUCCUUGCGGCCGCGGAGCGGCUUGGGGCUGGGGCCGGUGGGGCGGGCAUGGCACGGCCGAGCGCGGCGGGUGCGGGCAGGGCGGGCGCGGGCAAGCGCGGCUCAGUGGUGGGAGCAGUCGGGGCGGGGCUGGGCUCGGUGGUGGGCGGCUCGGCGGUGGGUAAGAAUGGCCCAAGUGGCCAGGCAAAGUAUCAUUUGAAGCCCCUUUGCCGAUUGCCAGCGAUCCGGCACUCAUCAAAGGUUUUUUUUUAAUUUCUUUGCCGAGUGCUGCCAGAUCUGGCACUCACCAAAGCCUAUUUUUUUUAAAAAAAAAUUAUUGUUUGCCGAGUGCCAACUGAUCCGGCACUCGGCAAAGAUUUUUUUUGAAAAUUUAUUCUGUGCUGAGUACCACUCGGUCUGCACUUGGUAAAGAUUAUUUCUUAUUUUUUUAAAAAAAAAAUACUUUAUUCUUUGCCGAAUAAAUUUUUUUUUGAAAGAAUAUUUUGUGCCAAGUGCCACCCGAUUCGGCAUCGGCAAAGAUAAUUUUUAAACUUUUUAAAAAGAAAAACUUUAUGCUUUGUCAAGUGUCGUAGAAAACACAAUUUUUAUUUUUUUUAAAAAAAUUAUUCUUUGUCAAGAGCCAUCCUACCCGACACUCAGCAAAGAUUAUUUUUAGUUUUUUUAAAAAUAAAAACUUUAUUCUUUGCCGAGUGCCGUACCGGUGGUACUCGGCAAAGACAAUUUUUAUUUUUUUUUGAAAAAUUAUUCUUUGCCAUGUGCAUCCUAAGGCACUCAACAAAGAAUUUUUUUUUGCCUCCAAACUUUUUCUACUGACUUUAAACUUUAUUUUAAAGUGCAUAAAUUUGGCAUAAUUCUCGAUAUAUUUUCUAUAUAUCUUUAAUUUAUUUCACUUAAACGUAUUUUUUCCGAAAAUACAAUAUUGAACUAUAGGUGCAUGGAAUUAUAGAAUUCGAUGAUUAGAAAAAUGAUAUUCACGAUACUUAUUAUAGUUUGAGGUCAUUUCCAGGAGCACGUCCGAAAUUUCGAACGUCUUAUACACGAAACAUGGCGACAAAGUUAUGGGAGAAAUGUAUUUUAAUUAUAUAAAUUACAAAUGGAGUUCGAAAAUCUUAAAACCUAGUGACACGUCUCGACAUCACAUGAGGAGGCUAUGAUAAAAAUUUGAUAAUAUUUCAUGAAAGUUAUCACGUCCGAUAGUUAUAAACCAUGCUUUUAGGCAUCUGACCCAGCUAGCUGCAAUCUAGGUAUUGUAGGACCAUUUACCCGUUUGCACACAUAUCUUAUAUUUUCCCUCGUGAUUAUCGGCUAGUAGCUGAAUUAAAAAAACAUUUUACUAAUAAUUAAAUAAAUUAUAGUAGCAUACCAUUAAUAAACUUUGUACUUCAAUACUUUGCAGAUCCUUCACCCAUGUUUCUAUCAGACGAUCAGCAUAGGCUCUCAUGAAACCCUCUGUACGCUUUUCCAUGUAUGCUCACAUUACUUAGGCCUUGUUUGGAUGUAGUCGUAUUCACAUUAAUCUACAUGUGUUGAGGUGGAUUGGAGUGGAACUUGAACUAAAUUCCACCCCAAUCCACACCAACACACAUGGAUUGAAGUGAAUACGACAACAUCCAAACAAGGCCUUACAUGUGUGGAUCAGCGCCACAAGAAACCGGCCACACAUCGGGAAUGAACGUGGCCCACGAUCGUGAAAGGACGAGGAACGUCGUGAUACAUAUCUAGAUAUAUAAUAAAACAAUAUAUUUAGAAAUGCAUGCUAAAAUAUCUUAUAAUUUGAAAUAGAGUAUUACAUUUAUAGGUCAACCCUAGAUAAUCUUAUAUUUGAAACAGACACCAACAGUUGAACUGUUUUUUGUACAUCAAGGUAGUACAAGCAAGUGGAAAUCCUUCAGCGGUUUAAUAUGCUGGAAUAUUGAACUUCCUUGUCAAAUAACUGUGAUCCUUCAAAGACAACAUCUUGAUUGGACAAUCAUGAGUGCAGGCGUUAGAUUUCAGUAAAAACGGUCGUGUGGAUCGCUUUUCUUUCUGCAUCCAGUAGUCGACGACCGAGCCCUGCAACUGGGCAGGCAUGUGCGUAAUCCACGAGCUAAUAAAUUCAUUGUUAGCACUUAUCCAUCCCUGAAAUGGAACCUCCUUGUCCUGUCGUUGCUUACGGCGUUUUCCAACUUUGUCCUUCUUCCUAGUAUUUGCCCUCCAUGAGGUCCUCUCGACCUGAAGGUAUGCGCUUCCAUGUUUGGACUUCGACAACAUCUGAUAUGAGGUAGUUUUCACAUUCCCACUAAGGCAAUCUACUGCUUUUGGCAUCGUGAUCUCGGCCAGCUGUUCAAAGGAAAUGUUUGCAUACAUGCUACAUUGUUUCUCUUCAUUGUUGAUUAUCUCUGACACUGAACCCCAGACAGUAGGUGACAAAUCUUCAAAAGAGGCAUGAGGCCAGAAGUGUGCUCCAAGUUUCAGAUAUGGAAAGUCUCUCAUGGAGCUUGUUUGGCUUUCACCAUCCAUUACUGCCCUCAGCCUAUUGUUCCCAACUGAGAGUGUAACAUGUCCUAGCAAAUACACUUGGAAAACUGGUUCCAUGUAUAUAUCACAUGGCAAUGAUUUUGGAGAGGAGCUCUGGGCAUGGGGAUGGUCUUGUUGUUGACAACAAAAUGGGUUUGGUCGAAACCAUUUAGAAUACAUGGUGUGAAGUAUAUUAUGUUGGUCAUCACAGCCAUAAACUGAAUAAGCAUCAAACACCGAAUACAUGUCUUGCGUUCGCAUCGGCUGUUAAGCUCAUGUAUGGUAUGAACAGCUGCAGACAUCUGACUACAACCCCAACUAUGUCAGUACUCUCAGAGAGUCAUAAGCUGAGGGAAAGAAGGAAAUUAUUCUGUGGCACAUUGCCAUCUUCAAGUAAGAAUACCAAGCUCCCCCCUGUCCCAUUGUCGGGUAGACUAAAGGGCUGUAGAGUAAGUGAGAGAUGUUGCCCCCCACGGACAAAGCAAUACUUUCACUGCUACAGAAUGAGGCGUUGGUCGAUGCCCAAGAUCGCCAAAAAGCGAUACCGGUCGGAACUCCCUCUCAUUACUUGUGGCAAGUGUGGGCAGAAGAUUGUGAUGAAGUAAAAGUGUCGAAAGAGGGAGUAAACAAGGGUCGUAUAUUCUACAAGUGUCUGGAUCAUAAUGUGAGUUAUUUCCAGAAUGUGUGCUUAUUUUUUAAUGAUAUUAAUUAAACUUUUGAUUCUCUCUUUUAAUUUCAGUGGGACGGUACCGGCAGAUGUACAGGUUGGUACUGGGAGGAAGAAUACAUUUCCAUUUAUAUAUGCUUAAUAUGCGUGUAAUAUAUAUAUUAUUAUAUCAGCAUAAAAUAUGUAUUGACAAACCUAUUAUUAUUAUAUAAAAACAAUAAACAGAACCGAAGAAAUGAACCGAAAAAAAACAAAACCCUACCAACCGGUAUUAAGGGGGGGGGCUUUAGCCCCGGUUCCCUGAACCGGGACUAAAGGGUGGGCCUUUAGUCCCGGAAGGGCAGCAUUGGCUCGGGAACCGGAGCAACAGGCUCUUCCUGACCGGUGCUAAUGCUCGAUCGUCCAGCGGUGUUUGUUCCUUUGCCAGCGAGAAGAUGGCGUAUAAGAGGCACAGAGAACAUGUAUCUACAUGGUGUGCCACCAAGCUCCACGUACCUCAAGAACUCGGUCGCACCAUCUGCAAAGUGCUCGAAUCGCCGCACAACGUUGGAUCCUCGAUCUGAGCUUGUCGUCAUUACCGAAUCGCCGCAAAGUGCUACUAAAGAUUGACGAAACAAAUGACAUAGCAGUAUGAGCAACCCUCUUAGGAAAGGAGGAGCUCUGUACUGCCUGCUGCACUUCUUCCUCUUCUUGGAAUGCCUGCAACGGCGCAAAGCAUGAUCGCACUCCUGUGUGGCACGCUUGAGCUUGCUUCACCAGUGAAGCAGUGGUGCGCGCGCUGGUGAUAUUCCACAUGUUGGAUGUCUCAAGGGCAGCUUCUAGCUUGAUGUGCGCCAUCUCCGUCCUCUCUAAGCGCUCCUUUGCAUCUGACUUCUCCACAUAACCCUCCUUGAUUCUUGAUAAGACUUUGUUAACAGCCUCCUGGGCCACUGCAGAACGGACCAUCUCUGCUGCCAUUGAGAUUGAUCAAAGCAAUCUGUAGAAUCGGUUGUCCUUCAUGCAAAGAAUGAAAGCAUAAUAUUGUUGCAUACAUAUAUGAGUUAGUUUGUCCCUAUGCAUCAGUCUAAAAUAUAUGAUUAAUUGUAAAGUGCAAGUGUAGGAAAUCAAAACCUGGCGUGGUCGAACACUUGAACUACCUAGCUGUAGGUUUCCAGAAUGUUGACACCACUGCAACACAGACAGAGAUCAUGAUGUUGACACCACUUGAAUCUAUCCUGCCCAGCCAGCUCGUUGUGGCCAUACAUAUUGGAAGGUAUACUUCAUUUGUGAGAGGGAUAUGCAUUCAGGAGGACUUUGAAUAGACGGAAAAGACAAUUAAGUAAUGUAGAGGGCCAAGUGGCUGUGAGGUUGAUGUAUGGAUCACAUCGCCAAGACCGCCAGAGUGGAGUGACAGCUACACCAUUGGGACUUUGGGAGUAAUCUAGGAACAUGUCAAGUGUGGGCCACAUGUCCCAUGGUGCGCUAGCUAGAAUUCUAUACACAGGACUGAGCAUUCUACUGGUCAACAGUGGAAAAAUAAACGUAGAAUAUAUAGAAGAUCUAGAGGGACACCGAAAGCAAUGGGUCAAUGAUGAUAUAUACUAUAUGCUAGGUAGGGGAGGGCGUGGAUACUUUUCUUGCUUCGAGGCGAUCAUCAAGAACGAGAUGAGUCCAGUCCAGCUUCAAUCUUACAUUUACUAAUUAGAGCCCAAACGGAGCUUCCAUAUUAAUUCUUCUCACAAGAUGCGCUUGAAAAAGAAAAGAUAAAUGCUAGAAAUUAUCAUGUUAAUCAGAAACAUCUAUCCCUUAAUUAAAAAAGAGACUCUAACUAUCUGUAACAUUAGAUCUAUUUUGUCCUUUAAGAAAAAUAGUUAUACGAACUAAUAUUCACGCUAUUGGUUAAUAAACUCCGGUCACAAGGGGGCAGUUGGUUAAUAAAAUCAGCAUAGUUAUACAAACUAAUAUUCACGUCGUUGGUUUCUUUUUGUUGAAUUGCUUGCCUUUCAUUAGAAUCAACCGGCCGAGGCAUCAUACAUUGCCAAUGUCUGAUACACAUGCUGAAGUUACAUGCCACAACUCUAGUCAUUGUGUACUCAAGACUUGCUUGGCUAAUAUAUGAGCAACCUUAUUACAAAAACAUUUAACAUAAGAAAGGGAAAAUUCCUGAAAACCGGGUCUAAAAACCACCAACUGGGGUUCAUGAACACCAUCCAACUAACUAAUGACUUUACCCUAAUACUAGCUCAAACCUGAGCCAACUUGAUUGAAAACAACCGAACUAGCAUCUCAACUGCACUGGCAACUAGUUAAUAACUAAAGCACAUGAGAACAACUCGAUCAAACCAUGAAACCAGGAACCAACUAGCAAAAACAACAAACUCUACCAACCAGAGCACAACCAACACAGCUUGGAGCACCACCAAGGCCAGACGACGUGAGAGCAACAGCGGUGCUGGAAAGCCUAGCCACACCUCCAAGAAGGAAAUGAUGCUGAAGGCACCAAUUUUUAUAAGGCUUGGCUAACCGCCUCCUGGGCCACUGCAGAACUGACCAUAUAUGUGCAGCCAUUAGGAUUGAUCAAACCAACCUGUAGAACUUGACUGUCCAGCAUGCUCAACUGGAAAGAAAGCAAAAUACUAUCACUCAAUACAUAUAGGAGUCAGAAUGUCCCUUUUUUUGCGAUCACACCGAAGGCGCGUAUUUCAUUAAGCAGGAAAGAGUUUGCCAGAAACAAUGAACAAGGAACACACACCGACCGAAUCACCAAGAAACAAAACCGAAACAGACAGACACAGCCAGCAACCACAGUUGCCACAGCCCAGCAGAGAAAAAUAGGAGCAAGGAAGCUUGCUCACAAAAGCCCCUACAAGAAGAAAAACACGAAACCAGGGAACCUGUCCACCUGGAAAUCAGACCCCUACCAACAGACCAGCAAGGUGUCUGAACCCCACACUGCACCAAGCGUCCGCUUCCUCCUUGAUCAGCAACGCCAGCUGAGGUGCCGGCGUCGAGGUUCCCCUGAAGGUCUGAGCAUUGCGUUCCUUCCAUAAAGACCAACACAUCAAGAAGAAGAACGAAUCAAAGCCCCUCCUGAGCGCUUUUGGCAAGAGCUUCCUCACGCGCAGCCACCAUGGAAUGGCAAGAUCAUCCUGGAGAGGGGCAACACCACUAAGUUGGAAGCUCGACAGCCAGCAGUGCCACACCUCCUGGCUAUGACAGCAAGACAGCAAAAUGUGGUCGAUGGUCUCAACCCCUUGGUCACACAUGAUGCAAGUAUCGUCGGGCGCUGCAGUCCAUGACGGCGCCUCCUCUCUGCUGUCCAACAGCGCCCAUGCAAAACCAGCCAGAAAAAGAAGCGUAGCCGCAAUGGCGCCGCCGUCUUCCAAAUUUCCUUAGCGCUGAGGGGUAGCGACGCACCAAGGAACAUGGCACCAUAGGCGGACGCCAGGCGAGGUCUAGUAACGCUUCUGACACCGUUGCCCUCCUCUUGCGCGGCCGCACAGCCGCAAAGACUGUGGGGCGAUGGACUGCACACUUUCACCAUGGUUGAAAAUAGACUCCCCGUUGCCCAAGUUGAACACGGUGGCUGCCUGGAAGAGGGCAAGAGCAGCCCGCUCUGAGGUCCUCGGUGCCUGGCCCUGACGCCUGUCCUUCUAGAUCCACCAUACGCCUAGCGCAAUCCCGGUUCGCCUGAGAUCGGAUAUACCUAGUCCGCCUAGAUAACGCGGUCUGGUCACCAAAGCCCACGCCACUUUACACUUGCCUCCAGCCACAACAUCUGUGCCAGCCCAAAUGAAUGUGCGGCGCAACUUGUCGAUGGUGUUGAUCGCCCAAGGUGAAAGGAAAAUAGCUAUUGAAGUAUAUGGACUGGGAUCGCCGACAAUGUCGCCUUUACAAGUGCCGUGCGUCAAGCAACAUUUAGCAUCUGCCCCUUCCACCCAGGUAUGCGUGCAGCCACUUUGUCUAUGAUCGGUUGCUCCUGUGAUCUCGUAAGUCUCCUGACCGAAAGCGGGACACCCAAGUAGCGACAAGGUAAGUCCUCAACUCGGCAGGGUAGUAUAUUAUGCAGGAGCUGAAUCUGAGUAUCAGUACAGUUCAGGGAGAUUGCCACACUCUUAUCAAGAUUGGAGAAGAGGCCCGAAGCCAGUCCAAAAAUACUCAGCACCCCUCUGAUCACCUCCAAGUCCCGCUGCUGUGGAAGGACGAACAGAAUUAGAUCAUCCGCGUAAAGACUAACUCGGUACCCAGCAAUGCCACUGAUAGGCGCUAAAAACCCCGCUGCUCCACCCAGCUUAGGCAGUUAUUCAGACUCUCCAUGAUCGUCAGCACGAAAAGCAUGUCUCUGUUAAUCAGUUUUGCAAGAGCAGAGGAAAUCAUUAUCAGAACCUGGUGAGGUUUGAUCUAGCUGUAAGAUUGCUAACUUCUGAAUGUGACGAUAUGUAGUCGUGUUUAUUUGAGAAAAAAGGUUGCUGGGUUGUGGCCAGCACCAACAGGAGUUUGUGAAUCCAUGCAGCCCGGCCAGCCAGUUGCAUGAGCAUACACACGGAGAGGUACAUUGUUUGAGAGCGACAUCGUGGAAAUUUGUCAUGAGUGAUAUACACAUAGGAAGACUUUGAAUACUUUUGGAGUAGUGGGCAAAGCACUGAGGUUGACAUGUAUCACAUCUCGGAGAGUCGCCAGAAUUAAUUGAUAUAUAGACACCUCUAGGAAUGCGUCAGAAAUGGGCCAGAAAUAUUCAUCUCAUAGGACCAACUUGAGUCAAAGUCGACGGCUGGUGACAAAACGUAGAAAUCUAGGUUUGAAAUCUUGGAGCAAAAAGCAUGAGAGAAGGAAAAUAUUAGAUUUUUUUUAAUACCAAAUUAUUAAAAAUUAUUUAUACUAAAUAUAUUGUUUACAAAACAGACUAGCUUUAAAAAUGAUGUAGCUAUGUAAUUGAUAUGCAAAUUUACUUAGGCUAUUUUCAUAAUAACAUAGGUAGUUUAAUUGAAUAUUUGGGGUUACUCAGAUUAUUUUUUACAAUACCAGAUGUGGGGAUUUAGAUAAAUAUAUUUAGGGGUAACUUUAUGCUACUUUCAAGAUGUGAGUAAUAUAUAUAUAGGGAUUGAUGGUUAUUUUAGGCCCUUUUAUAAUAAAAUGACCAGGGUUGGUAAUUUGUAUGUAGAUUUCUCUGGUGUUACUUUGGCGGAUCCAAGGGCAGGGCUGCCUGUGCUGCAGCCCUAGUCCUUGGCUAUAAGACUCCAUACAAACUUACUUCAUCAGCUAUACACUCCAUACAAACGUACUUUAUUUUUUGAGCCAAACCGGAGUGGGAGAAUAGUAAAUAUUUAUUAAAACAAGGUGAGCAAUAAGUUGACAAGAGCUUCAGGAAGUAAUUAAAGAAGGAUUAAAGUUAUUAUAUUUCUUAUGGUCAUGUGGAUACAAAAUUAUAAAAGUGUCACAAUUAAUCUCAAAGGAGUUAACCUUAACUCCCACUAUAAUGCCCUUAGGACACUCACAAUGCAGACUCUAUCAUAGAGUCUAAAGUUAUUUAUUACCUCGAACAAUGUGGACUUAGAGUCUAAAUAAGACUUGGAGUCUUAUUUUUUCUACCUCUUUCUUCAAUAAAUAUGCUGCCACAUCAGCAAAAUACCAUAAAUAAUAUGUAAUUAAUUGUCUUGGACUCUGUGAUAGAGUCUUGCAUUGUGAGUACCCUUAGAGGAACCUUUUGGUUCGAUCCAUUCCCAGUCAACUACCUCAACUACCAACAAUAUACGCAGCCUGCCAUAUGCGGGAAGACCACCAAAUUGUGUGUUGCGUCCUAUCACUAAAAAUUCAGUGAAAAUAGAUUGUGAUCGACAAAGUUAUCCUGGUUUUGAUACAUUCCUAAAGAAUAAAUAGGGUCUAGAGGAUUUCAGAGAUGUAGGAUUUACGAGAAGAGCCACCAUCAAUAGACGAUUUUAGUUUUCUUUUAUUUGUCAUUUUACAGUUUUCUCCUUUUAGUCCCGACAAAUUAUGUAAUUACAUAAAGGCUUAUAUACUUACAGACACACCAAAGGAACAUGCAUGCAAGGUUGUCUAACAGUGAACAUAUAAAUCGAUCUGAAUUUUCCAUCAUGACAAGCUUCCUCUAGUAGAACUUAAUGUCCGGAUGACAUACACUUAAUAACAUAUCCUUUUGGCUUUGAACAUGCUGCACGAUUUGAUCUUCCUUGCUAAAGAUUUGUAAUAUUGCGAAGAAAGCGACAUGAUUGGACAAUCAUCGACACAGGCAUUAUAUUUAAAUAAUAAUGAUAGCGGAAAUCGCUUUUCUAUCUGAACCCAGUCCAUGACUGCGCCCUGUACGUGGGCAGGUGCGUGCGCAACCCACGAGCACAAGUUUGCACUUGCCCAUCCCUGUACCUUCUUGCCCUGUCGUUGUUUAGGACGUUUUCCACCUAUGCCUCUCCCAGUGGUUGGUCCCCGUGAGAUUUUCUCGACUUGAAGGUUUGCGCCACCAUGCUUGGACUUCCAAAGCAUCUGAUAUGAGGUAGCUGCCCCACUCCCACGAAGGCAAUCUACUGCCUUUGGCAUCAUAAAUUCUCCCAACUGUUCAAAGCAAAUUUUUGCAUACAAGCCAUGUUUCACGGCCACCUCAUUGAUCAUUUCUGUUGCUGAACCCUCGACUGCAGGUGACAAAUCUUCAUAAGGGGCAUGGGGAUAGAAAUGAACUCCAAGUUUCAGAUAAGGAAAUUCACUCAUGGGACUUGUUUUGCUUUCACCAUCAGGGACUGCUCUCUGCAUGUUGUUCCCAACAGAAAGAGUGAUAUGGCCUAGCAAAUACACUUGGAUAAUGGGUUCCAUGUAUAUAUCACAUGGCAAUGAUUCUGACGAUGAGCUUUUGAAAUUGUGGCUCUGGGAGUAGUGAUAUUCUUGUUGCUGGCAACAAAAAGGAUUCGGCCGAACCCAUCUGGACCAGAUGGUGUGAAGAUUGUUCUGGUGUUCACCACAAUGGCUAAAAAUAUGAUAAGCAUCGGGCACCCAGCACAAGUCUUGUGUUGGUACCUGAGUGAGCUUUGCCUUCACAGUCUCGACUGUUGAACCUAAGUAAGGUAUGAACAGGUGCAGGCAUCCGACUGCAAUCCUAACUAUGUCUGUACUUUCCGAGAGCCGUAAAGUGAGGACAAGAGCGAAAUUAUUCUCUGCUAUAUUGGUAUCUUCAAGUAUCAAUACUAGGUCAACCUCCAUCCCAUGCUCUUGUAGUGGACUACAGGGUUUUAGAAGAAAUGAGAGAUGUUGACCAUUGUUAACAAAGCAAUACUUUGUUCCUUUGCCAGCGAUAAGAUGGCGUACAAGAGGGUCAGAAAACAUGUGUCUGCGUGGUGUUCCGCCAAGCUCCAAAAAUCUCAAGAAUUCGCUUGCACCUUCGGCAAAGCGUUCGAAUCGCUGGGUGACAGCGGAUCCUUUCAGACCAUCAUCGUCAUC
rnacentral:lncRNA from 1 species